GUAAGGAAUAUUGGUCAAUGGACGCAAGUCUGAACCAGCCAUGCCGCGUGGAGGAUGAAGGUCCUCUGGAUUGUAAACUUCUUUUAUCUGGGAAGAAAAAGGACUUUUCUAAGUCAACUGACGGUACCAGAUGAAUAAGCACCGGCUAACUCCGUGCCAGCAGCCGCGGUAAUACGGAGGGUGCAAGCGUUAUCCGGAUUCACUGGGUUUAAAGGGUGCGUAGGUGGGCAGGUAAGUCAGUGGUGAAAUCUCCGGGCUUAACCCGGAAACUGCCAUUGAUACUAUCUGUCUUGAAUACCCUGGAGGUGAGCGGAAUAUGUCAUGUAGCGGUGAAAUGCUUAGAUAUGACAUAGAACACCCAUUGCGAAGGCAGCUCACUACAGGAAUAUUGACACUGAGGCACGAAAGCGUGGGGAUCAAACAGGAUUAGAUACCCCGGUAGUCC
rnacentral:rRNA from 1 species